UUUUUUUUCAUUUUACGUCCCUGGCAGAGUUCUUGGAGUACUAUGAACUUACAGUCGUCUAACUUUGUAUUCAGAUGCAUUUAGGAUAGCCAGACAUAAUUACAACUCCAUUAUAUAGACUUUCAACAAUGGACUAGACCCAGUGUAUACAGAGGAACCCAACAACUGAACAGAGCAGAACAGUAUUCAGUGACCUUGAAGAGUAAGCAAUGUGUACAGUAAAACAGCUAUCUUUGUAGUUACCAAAGGGUAUGGUAAGAACCUCAUCUAUAAUUAUAUGUGGUUCUUUCUGUGACAUGUUUUUCAUGGUGUUGGGAAUAAGACUUUUGGGUCUAAUACAUCUAAAAGGAAGAUUAACAUCACAGCUUGUCCGUAAGGAUUGAGGUUGGGAAUGGCCAUUGGAGCUGACUUUUAUGGUAACUUUAACUGUGGCUGCAUGAAAAUGAUUAGGUGACUUUACCAGUAAAGAAUGUAAUUCAGACAAUUUUUGUGUAUGUUUGAUAAAUGUUUAUAAUUUAAAAAAAAAAAAAAAUAGUGUAAAGAUUCUCCAUUUUCAACAAAAUUGUAAGUUAUAGAUAACUUAUUUUGAAUUUUAAAAUCUCUCUUUUUACCAUUAAAACCAAAGGAUAUAUUCAGGUAGCUCUACUCAUGUCCAUUCUUGACAAUUUUUUUGUCAUGCAUAUUGAUACUGAACUGGUUUUUGUCUCGCCUUGACAGAGCCAAAAAGCGAGACAUAAGUAUGCUGUCUCCGGC